GUUCGACUUAAACGGCCUCUGGACCGUACGUAUAUAUGGCUAUCUAUUUCUUUGCCUGUUUUGAUGAGCCUCACUUCUCUCAAAGCAAUGAAGGAGCAGAAAAAGAUGAUGACGACGACGAAUACGAUGGUAGUGGAAACGGUCUCCUGCUGAAAAUCAAGAAAAGAAAUGGAUGAAUUGAAAGCCAAGCAUGUCAAUCACAAUUUAUGGAAUACCCAUUUGAAGAGCAAGAAAAUAUGGUUGCCUCAUGUUCAUGAGUAUGCAUCGAUAAGGAGGAUUUGUUGUUGAAGAGGAAUUGCAUACUAAUGUUUUUUAUUUCUAAUUAUUUUAGAUGUAAUGGUCAAUGGAUGGAGCAAAUCAAAAUGCUUCUUCCUUUUGGAAACAAGAAGUAAUAAAAUCCCCAAGACCUCCAUUAACCUUGGCA